rnacentral:piRNA from 1 species
UUAUCAAAAAAGACAAGGAGG